GUGGCUGGUGUCGUUCACGAUCUAGGCACGUUUAGGUCCCCGCAGCGAACUAGUUCCUAAGUUGACUAGUCAAUUAGGUGAUAGUUCGUCCGGAUGACGUACCUCCGUGAAUCCGAUCUGAGAAAUUCAAGUUUCUGCAUCCUUCUAUGUUUGAUAAGGUCAUUUUGAACGGUCGGAUUGAACGUGGCUGGUGUCGUUCACGAUCUAGGCACGUUUAGGUCCC
rnacentral:lncRNA from 1 species